rnacentral:pre_miRNA from 1 species
ACACAGAUCACCUGGAGACCUUGUUAAAAUGCAGAUUCUGAUUCAGGUCGGAAGAGGAGCCUGAUAUUCUGCAUUUCUACUGAGUUCCCAGGAGAUGCUGAU